CAAUCUUACAUAGUAUAUUACAUAUCAAUCUUAAACAAGAAACAUAAAGGUAAAUAUAUAGUACAAAGCAUAAAGACAUCAGUACAUAAUAAAUACUACCUAUACAAACUAAUCCUCCUCUCCUGAAGAUUCUCCACUAAACCAUUCACCCUCUUCGGAAGUUUUAUCAUCUCCUACCCACUCAGCCUCUUCUUUUAUAAUAUUAACUUCUUCAAAUAUAUUUUUUGGAUGAUUCAAACUAUCCAAACAAGAAACAUAAAGUUAUAUACAUAUAGUACAAAGCAUAAAGACAUCAAUACAUAAUAAAUACAACCUAUACAACUAAUCCUCCUCUUCUGAAGACUCUCCACUAAACCAAUCACCCUCUUCGGAGGUUUUCUCAUCUCCUACCCACCUAGUUGCUUCUUCCACAAUAUUAACUUCUUCUAAUAUAUUUUUCAGGUGAUUCAAAUCAUCCACUAAUUCUACGUCCACUAGCUGGUGAUCAAUCUGUAUUUCAUUUUGAUAUGCAGUCUCCAGCACAUUCUCAACUUCCACCCAUCCUAUAGGCUUUGUUUUGAUUAUAUCCCACCAAUCAGACUUGUCAUUGCAUAACGGAUAAGGAGCAUAAUACACUUGCUUAGCAUUUUGCGCUAGCACAAAUGAAUCAUAAAUAGGAUACGACCUAUUGUGCUUCACUUUAAUGAUGUUAUGCUCCUUAUGUAAUCUUGUUCCUGUUGUGAUUGGAUUAGACCACUUAUAUCGAAAGAGGACAAUUUUUUUUAUUGGGUAACCAACAUACUCCAGUUCUAAGAUCUCGUGUAUGAUGCCAAAGUAAUCAACAUCAUCAUCACCCUUAACGCAAACACCACUAUUAUUUAUUUUCCUUGUUCUGGAGUGUUGUUCAGUGGAAAAUUUAAACCUAUUUAAUUUGUAUUGAGACAUUGCAUUUAGCUUCAAUUGGACCCAAAGAAAUAUCUCUCAAGAGCUGGUCGUAUGCGGCUGCAUUUGGUG
rnacentral:lncRNA from 1 species